rnacentral:rRNA from 1 species
AUUGAACGCUGGCGGCAAGCCUAACACAUGCAAGUCGAACGAGUGGCGGACGGGUAAGUAAUGUCUGUGAAACUGCCUGAUGGAGGGGGAUAACUACUGAAAACGGUAGCUAAUACCGCAUACCAUCGGAUGUGCCCAGAUGGGAUUAGCUAGUAGGUGGGGUAAAGACUCACCUAGGCGACGAUCCCUAGCUGGUCUGAGAGGAUGACAGGCCAUCCUGGAACAGAGAGACUGUCCAGACUCCUACGGGAUGCAGCAGUGGGGAAUAUAGAACAAUUGGCGCAAGCCUGAUUCAGCCACGCCGCGUGUAUGAAGAGGGCCUUCGGGUUGUAAAGUACUUUUAGCGGGGAGGCGUUACCCGCAGAAGAAGCACCGGCGAACUCCGUGCCAGCAGCCGCGGUAAUAC